AUUGAACGCUGGCGGCAUGCUUUACACAUGCAAGUCGAACGGUAACAGGCCGCAAGGUGCUGACGAGUGGCGAACGGGUGAGUAAUGCAUCGGAACGUGCCCAGUCGUGGGGGAUAACGCAGCGAAAGCUGCGCUAAUACCGCAUACGCUCUAUGGAUGAAAGCGGGGGACCGUAAGGCCUCGCGCGAUUGGAGCGGCUGAUGUCAGAUUAGGUAGUUGGUGGGGGAAAGGCUCACCAAGCCAACGAUCUGUAGCUGGUCUGAGAGGACGACCAGCCACACUGGGACUGAGACACGGCCCAGACUCCUACGGGAGGCAGCAGUGGGGAAUUUUGGACAAUGGGCGCAAGCCUGAUCCAGCAAUGCCGCGUGCAGGAAGAAGGCCUUCGGGUUGUAAACUGCUUUUGUACGGAACGAAAAGGUCCUUUCUAAUACAAGGGGCUCAUGACGGUACCGUAAGGAUAAGCACCGGCUAACUACGUGCCAGCCGCCGCCGUAACAC
rnacentral:rRNA from 1 species